UAUGGUUUAUUAGAUCGUGCGUUCUCACUUGGAUAACUGUGGUAAUUCUAGAGCUAAUACAUGCAACUGGCCCUAACUUUACGGAGGGGCGCUUUUAUUAGAUCAAAAUCAAUCAGGUUUCGGCCUGUUUUUGUGAUGACUCUGGAUAACUUUGUGCCGACCGCAUGGCCUUGCGCCGGCGGCGUAUCUUUCAAAUGUCUGCCCUAUCAACUUUCGAUGGUAGGUGACAUGCCUACCAUGGUUGUAACGGGUAACGGAGAAUCAGGGUUCGAUUCCGGAGAGGGAGCCUGAGAAACGGCUACCAUA
rnacentral:rRNA from 1 species